AAGAAGAUAUAUUUAUAUUAUAUUAUAGUAAUUUGUAUGUGAGUCUAGUGUUAGGCAAUACAACAGUGUAGUACAACCUGAGAGCAAUCAAUCAAACCAGUUUCUACAUUGUUUUGUUUUUUGUUUUGUUUGUUGUUUUUUUGUGCAAAUCAGCUGCUAUUAUGGUACAAGUGCUCAUCUUAACUUUUGCUCAAUUCCAAAAUAAGUAAUACUGUAGAUACUUAGCAUGGUAUAUGGAAUUCUACAUUUUUUCUGUACAGAAUAUUAAGGAACAAACCAACAAAACGUAACGAAAUUAAACAAAAAAGAUAAACCAUAACGGAGUGAGAGACAGACAGAGAGAGAGAGAGA